CCCUUAGAUGUUCUGGGCUGCACGCGCGCUACACUGAAGCGUUCAACGAGUAUUCACCUUGCCCGGGAGGGUUGGGUAAUCUUUUCAAAACGCAUCGUGAUGGGGAUAGAUUAUUGCAAUUAUUAAUCUUCAACGAGGAAUUCCUAGUAAGCGCGAGUCAUCAGCUCGUGCUGAUUACGUCCCUGCCCUUUGUACACACCGCCCGUCGCUCCUACCGAUUGAGUGCUCAGGUGAAUAAUUCGGACUGCAGCAAUGUUUGGAUCCCGAACGUUGCAGCGGAAAGUUUAGUGAACCUUAUCACUUAGAGGAAGGAGAAGUCGUAACA
rnacentral:rRNA from 1 species